rnacentral:rRNA from 1 species
CAGAGGUCUCAAGCGUUGUUCGGAUUCAUUGGGCGUAAAGGGAGCGUAGGUGGCGGGGUUAGUCAGGUGUGAAAUCUCGGGGCUCAACCCCGAAACUGCACUUGAUACUGCCUUGCUAGAGUACUGGAGAGGAGAUUGGAAUUUACGGUGUAGCAGUGAAAUGCGUAGAUAUCGUAAGGAAGACCAGUGGCGAAGGCGAAUCUCUGGACAGUUACUGACACUGAGGCUCGAAGGCCAGGGGAGCAAACGGGAUUAGAUACCCCGGUAGUCCUGGCAGUAAACGGUGCGCGUUUGGUGUGGGAGGAUUCGACCCCUUCUGUGCCGGAGCUAACGCGUUAAACGCGCCGCCUGGGGAGUACGGUCGCAAGAUUA